rnacentral:rRNA from 1 species
GGAUCCUACGGGGGGCAGCAGUGGGGGAUAUUGGACAAUGGGGGGAACCCUGAUCCAGCGACGCCGCGUGAGUGAAGAAGUAUCUCGGUAUGUAAAGCUCUAUCAGCAGGGAAGAAGAAAUGACGGUACCUGAGUAAGAAGCCCCGGCUAACUACGUGCCAGCAGCCGCGGUAAUACGUAGGGGGCAAGCGUUAUCCGGAAUUACUGGGUGUAAAGGGUGCGUAGGUGGCAUGGUAAGUCAGAAGUGAAAGCCCGGGGCUUAACCCCGGGACUGCUUUUGAAACUGUCAUGCUGGAGUGCAGGAG